rnacentral:lncRNA from 1 species
UAAACACAAAAGUCUUGUUAGAAGACAUUUAUUUGGGAUGAGGAAAGGAAACUGAGGACAGGGUACAGGAGUAAUAGCAAUUCCCUGUAGCUCUCAAAGCAAAUUUUGAGCUCAUUUUUCUUUUUCUGCAAGCUCAGCAGCAGAAUGCCCAGACAAUUCCCUGUAGCUCUCAAAGCAAAUUUUGAGCUCAUUUUUCUUUUUCUGCAAGCUCAGCAGCAGAAUGCCCAGAGUCUUCCCUGGUAGAUGCAGGUUCCAUAGCGACGUUCUCCUGCAAUGCACGCUGGUAUUCUGCAAUAGCAGUCCAUGUUUUUCCUUGAGCCUGGGACAGGGAGAGCAUGAGAAAUUGAGUAUGGAGUUA